CCUACGGGUGGCAGCAGUGAGGAAUAUUGGUCAAUGGGCGGAAGCCUGAACCAGCCACGUCGCGUGCAGGAUGACGGCCCUACGGGUUGUAAACUGCUUUUAUACGGGAAUCACGCGCCUUACGUGUAGGGCUUUGCAUGUACCGUAUGAAUAAGGACCGGCUAAUUCCGUGACAGCAGCCGAGGUAAUCCGGAAGGUCCGGGAGUUACCCGGAUUUAUUGGGUUUAAAGGGAGCGUAGGCCGCAUGUCAAGCGUGCUGUGAAAUGUCCGGGCUCAACCCGGGCCUUGCAGCGCCAACUGGCGUGCUUGAGUCCGCGGAAAGCAGGCGGAAUUCGUGGUGUAGCGGUGAAAUGCUUAGAUAUGACGAAGAACCGCGAUUGCGAAGGCAGCUUGCUGCAGCGGAACUGACGCUGAUGCUCGAAAGCGCGGGUAUCGAACAGGAUUAGAUACCCGGGUAGUC
rnacentral:rRNA from 1 species